AAGUUGCAGGAAUGGCCUUUAGGGUCAACCGUCGUCCUAAUUUUUUUUGUAUCACUCAACGAUUAGGAAACAGAGGACAAAGCACUAUUAUAGAUGGUCAAUCAGUAAUUAUCAAAUUUGUCAGAUGAGGAAGGUUACCUUGAUUUUUGUGUUGGUAAGAAGCAAGAAUAUUAUUUAAUUUUUAAUUAAUACAUAAUUUAUAAAAUAUGUGACACUUGUAGAGCAAUAAUUGAUUAUCAUAUGAUGAAAUAAUUGAAUGGAAAAAGAAUUAUCAAGAUGAUUAUUUACUUAUAUAAUUUCAACAGAAAAACUGAAGACAAAAAUGACGUUGUGAUUCAACGUAUAGCUUUGAUAGUUUGAUGCAUAGCUGGUCAGCUCUCUGGGAAUGAAUUGGAAAAUCUUUUAACUGAAGUAUAUUAAGUAGCUAUGUCACCUUUAAAAUGCCAAACUUCAACACUACGCAUUAUGAGUUCUCUUUUGUUGUAACUGCUAUCAGAUUAUGGGAAGAACUACCAACUGAGGUGGAAGUAAUGGAACUGAAGAGACUCUGAAACGUACAAAUUUCAAAGUGACUAGUCGAGAAGAACACAGUGAACAAAGUUACCGAAUUGUUUAACAGGUUCAAGCAGCUACUCAAAUCAAUGGCUAGUUUUUUUGAAGUUGUUGAGAUGUAAUGUUUCAAAUGGUGGAUAUGGUAAAAUAAUGUA